rnacentral:rRNA from 1 species
CCUACGGGAGGCUGCAGUGAGGAAUAUUGGUCAAUGGACGAGAGUCUGAACCAGCCAAGUAGCGUGAAGGAUGACUGCCCUAUGGGUUGUAAACUUCUUUUAUAAAGGAAUAAAACGAGGCACGUGUGCCUUUUUGCAUGUACUUUAUGAAUAAGGAUCGGCUAACUCCGUGCCAGCAGCCGCGGUAAUACGGAGGAUCCGAGCGUUAUCCGGAUUUAUUGGGUUUAAAGGGAGCGUAGAUGGGUUGUUAAGUCAGUUGUGAAAGUUUGCGGCUCAACCGUAAAAUUGCAAUUGAUACUGGCAGUCGUGAGUACAGUUGAGGUAGGCGGAAUUCGUGGUGGAGCGGUGAAAUGCUUAGAUAUCACGAAGAACCCCGAUUGCGAAGGCAGCUUACUAAACUGUGACUGACAUUGAUGCUCGAAAGUGUGGGUAUCAAACAGGAUUAGAUACCCCUGUAGUC